UACCGUGGGAAGGCCGACGUAACGUCGGUCCCCGUAUCGACUGGAUUCCCGCCUCUGGCGGGAUGAAGAUAGGAAUAAUAUAUUUCUAUAAAACGUUGGCACCCUCCAAAUGGAGCGGUGAAGGUAUAGUCAAAAUUAAUUGGAAACAAUUAAAGUUAAUAUUGAGCGAUGUCGGCUCAGCGCAUCCUGGGGCUGAAGAAGGUCCCAAGGGUUGGUCUGUUCGCCCAUUAAAGCGCUACGUGAGCUGGGUUCAGACCGUCAAUUUGGCGGCCUUUUGGAGUAAUCCAAAUUGCAAAAUCGACUCAUAUCAGUGAAUUCCUUAAUACGUUUUUAACCUGUCGUAUGUUAGGGUAAUACUGAGGGAAGUCGUAGUCCUGUAUUUAUGAAAAAGUCAAAGAUUUGGUGGGCAUAUAUUUCUGGAAUGUUAGAUGGUGAUGGCAGUAUUUAUGUACGGCUAAAACCCAAUCCAACAUACAAAUAUGGUUUUCAAGUCGCCCCAAAUGUUAUCUUCUUUCAAAAGAACACUCUUAUGAAAGAAAUGGAGAUAAUCAGGGAGAGACUGAAUUGCGGAUACAUCCGCAAAAGAAAUGACGGAAUUGUCGAAUUAACAAUCGGCGAUCGUCCUUCAAUCAUAUAUGUUCUAGAAAAUAUGCUUCCGUUUCUUAUCUUAAAAAAGAAACAAGCUAAAUUAAUGCUUAAAAUUAUCAGAUAUCAACAGCAAGUUAAUAAUGUUAACAAAUUUAUUAAACUUGCAGAGUAUAUUGAUCAGUUCGGAAUAUUAAAUUAUUCAAAACGAAGAAUUAUAAAUACGCAGGUGGUUCGUAACCACCUGGAAAAACAAGGACUAUUGACCCCGCAGAGACUUGUUCCGCGUUACGUCGGAACAGAUGGAAAUUAAUUUUCCAUAACACGUCGGUCACCCCGCAAAUAGUGGGGUGGUGGUAUAGUCCAUGCCUUAGGUAACUAAGGAUUUAACAUGCGUGAGACAGGUCGGUCUCUAUCCUCUGUCAGCGUUGGAAUCUUGAGGGGAGUUGGUCGUAGUACGAGAGGACCCGACUGAGCCAACCGCUAGUGUUCCUGUUGUAGCCGUCAGGCGCAUCGCAGGGUAGCUACGUUGGUAAAUGAUAACCGCUGAAAGCAUC
rnacentral:rRNA from 1 species